rnacentral:rRNA from 1 species
UACGGAGGGCGCGAGCGUUAAUCGGAAUCACUGGGCGUAAAGCGCACGUAGGCGGCAAGAUAAGUCAGAUGUGAAAGCCCCGGGCUUAACCUGGGAAUGGCAUUUGAUACUGUCUGGCUAGAGUAUGGUAGAGGGGGGUGGAAUUCCAGGUGUAGCGGUGAAAUGCGUAGAGAUCUGGAGGAACACCGGUGGCGAAGGCGGCCCCCUGGACCAAUACUGACGCUGAGGUGCGAAAGCGUGGGGAGCAAACAGG